UCUUGACUAGUAUAUCGGUUAGUACACGCGCUUGUCAUUCUAUGUAAUUCGUCAACCUUACGCGCGAAAGCUGGGUUCGACUCCCAGGUCGAGAG